GGUAAUUCGCCUAAUGUCACUGCCCUCUGGGUUUACCUGUUGGGUGCUCAUGUGUAUCUGUUGGGUUUUAUAGUCUUCAGUGAGGAAAAAGCGUCCUGUGAUUUGUUAUCUGUUUGAGUUAUUAGGCGUUUUCAGCAUCAAUCAUGUGACUGAGCUGCGUGCAGCUGGAAAAAGGGACCCGUCACUCCUCACUAACAGCACAGACCUUUCCAGGGCUCCAGAGCACACUCAGGUUCCUCAGUUUCAUCGGGCUUUUCCAAGAACAGGCACGGAGAGCAGGAUUUAAGUGCCAAAGCAGAUACUUGAGGCUGCCCAGGAUGUCCUGAGGCCUCCAGAACAUCAGCAGGGAGUGGAUAUUUGUGGAAAAGGACACAUGGGAGGUCCCUGCCCUGUCAGGGAGCAGCUGAAGCCCAGUGAAGUGCCUGCAGAGAUGCCCUCUGCACAGUCCCACUUCCCAGAGUGGAGAGUAUAGACCCAAGAACCGUGGCUCCUGAGCUGUGCCUGCAACCAUCCUACCUGAGAAACGAUGGCUUUGACAGACUUAAGCUCCUUUGAGAGGACAGCAUGGAAGGGCCAAGAAGAGAAAAUGUAUUUACUUUGGUGCAUUUCAAUGAAAAGUGAAAUGAGAUGCUGUCUUCUUGCGGGGUGUUGUUCCUAAGCUUCUGCCAAGGCUCUCUGUGGUGCAAAUGGGUCUGGUUCUGGGCAGAGCCUGAGCCCCACAGCCUUCCUGCAGCUGCACAUCUGCUUCUCUUGGGGUCCUUCCUGUUUUGCUCACCUCCUUACCCACCUCUGUGUGUCCUAACCUGUACCUUUAUGCUGAUCCUUAUUACUAGUGAUGUGUUUUGUGAAAACACAAACAGUGAAUUUUUUUUUUUUCUCUAAAGAGAUACAGUGUUCUAGCAUUAAAAAUAACACAAGCUAAUAGGGGUUACAGGAAAUUAAAUUUAUUUAGUUUUAUCCUCUUGGGUGUAUUGUAUAUCAUGACCCUCCUGCCACCAGCAAACCUACUGUUAAAUCCAUCAAAAUUGAUCUAUGUUUAGCUAUUCAUUUUAUGUAUAUUAAUUUGAACAGAACAUUUAUUUGGUUUAAAUUUUAUUUUCGGUGGUGGAAUGUAUGUUCCAAAUGCAAGCACAGGCGAUUUGCUAGGAUUUAGUUAGGAGGAAUGUGGAAUGUUAGUUUACAAAGAUAAUAACCAAGCUAUGAAAGCCAACAACCCCUUUUAAAGCAAACAUACCAUUAAAAUAUAGGAACAGUUUAUAGUGUAAAUAAAAUUGAGGAUAUGGAUUAUUUAAAGAUAAAAUUUUUAGGGGUAGCUAUGAGAAAGUUGAAUAAAAUGUAUUUAAUUGCACCACUCUUUUUUCUAAAGUGAACUUCAAAAAUGCAAAUAAAGGAUGGUACUUUAUGGGCAGGGGGAGACAGCUACACAGACAGUGAUGUUAGAAAUCCAUUUUACUUAUGGAGAUGUAUAAUAGUGAUUUGACUUUUAUUUUCUAAUCUGAAUCAGAUUUCAGGGGGAAAAAAAAUUGUGCUUAAACUCCUAAGUGGCAGAAUUUAUCUUGCUUGUGAAUCCAUACAGUGGAAAGAGUAGCAAGGCAUUUGCUUCUAGAUCAUUCUCCUUGUCUGAAUGACAGAUACAAUAAUUCCCUCUAUUAGCCAGAUCCAUUGUCUUUAUUUUGCACAGAAGUACUGUAUUGCUGAGGUAGACUUCCACUGCUAUGCAUAUUUUAAGGGUUAUUUGGCAACACAAGUAAAGCUAAAAGUAGCCUCUUAAUCUAAUUAAUUGACAUUUCUGAAUCUUGCUUUCACAACAACACAUGGUUUCAUGUUCUGGGUUUUAGCACUUGUCAAGCUUUUUUGGAGAAUGUUUUGGUCAGAAUGACAAGAUAAUUUGUGACUGAGGCUCCAAGCUAGAGGAGUGUUUAAGGCUAUAAUGAUUUAUUAUCAUCACAGAAUAACAAAAUUUACAAAGCGUUUCAUCAGAAUUUUUGAAAUAAGUUUGCCACCGUGGUAGAAGCAUGCAGGGAGUGUGGGGGGGGUCUUCCUACCCAAAUGCCAGUGUGACUUAUUUGUAAUAAUCACAACGCUAAAUUUAUUUUGGAGCUUUUCUUGACAGACUUGCAGCACAGUUAGAAAGACAAGAGGUGAGGGAAUUGUAACAACCAAGAAGGUAAAACUCUGCCUUUUUUUAAACAAACGCUCUGUGACCAAAAUAAAAAUAUGUGCUUCGUGCAAUAAAUAAUAUAUACGUGGCCAUGUUAAACUAUCAGUGCUAACAUCCUGGCAGGAGAGACUAGAAAUAGUCACACCAUAAAAAGUUUAAAACAGUGAAUGUCUGUGCUUUUGAUGUUCAGAAAUGCAUACAAAACUAUUUUCUUGAAGGAUAAAAUAGGUGAUGUUACUGAGUGACGGUGCAUUAGUGGGGCUGGCAUUUGUGGACUUUCAGGCAACUGCUAUAAAAAGAAAUAAUGUAACCACACUAAUUUUGACUUCAUUUUGAUUCUCUGCUAAGUGAACUAAGGAUGCCAGACUUUGAGACAAAAUGUCUGACUCUGAACGUGCAGCAUUUCCACUUAUUCUCUGUGUUUCUAUAACUUAUUAUGUAAUUAAAUACCUUGAAACCCUAGGCAUUGGUUAGUUUAGACAAAGUUGUGACAGUUAUUUGACUUCAGAGGCCGGGAAUAGAAGCCACUUCUCCAAUGCCCUAAAGUGAUUUUGAGGCUGUUUUGUUUGACUAUCAAACACAUACCUUUCCAGAGCAAGCUUUUUUAAAGAUGCAGUCAUAGCUCGCUGAGGGAUGAGGUGAGGCAUUAACGUGUUUGGCAGCAAAGUGUGUGUAACAUUGUUUAGCAAUAACAAAGACAGUAUCACCCAGCAUCAGCGAGCCCUGUGUCUCAAAGGAUCACGAGGCUGUUUCUCGUAGAAAUUAGCUGUAAUUAUUGUAUGUAUUUACAAGGCACAGGCACUGCAGUAUCCAUGUGCCCUUUCCAAGAACCAGUACGUGGUGAGCUAAUGGAAGGCGACUUCCAAGCUGGCACAGGGAGUGACCCCUUGGGUUCCAGGCAUUCCUUUUUUUUUUUUUUUUCUUCUUUCUCUUCUUUUUUUCUUCUUUUCCCUUUUCACAGAACUACUCAGGCACUUGCAUUUAGUGAGUUGGAAUGUAAAAAGAUGUGUCUCGCAUCUCCUGCAAGAGCUUGCCAGAUUCAGGCUCUGAUGGAUUUCUGGCAAGAGUCAGUUCCGGAGCUGAGGACCCACCACAGAGAAUAUCUAUUUAUUUAAGCUAUUUAUAGCAUUUCUAAAGAACUCUUCACUGUAUUAUCUCAGCAUGUCACAGAAAUUAAAGGUACACCAUGAAUUAAAGGUGUGCCAGCAGCAUCCAGCACUGGCUGCCAGAAGGUCCUGCAGGGCUUC